rnacentral:rRNA from 1 species
UGGGGAAUUUUCCGCAAUGGGCGCAAGCCUGAUGCAGCCAUGCCGCGUGUAUGAAGAAGGCCUUCGGGUUGUAAAGUACUUUCAGCGGGGAGGAAGGCGAUAAGGUUAAUAACCUUGUCGAUUGACGUUACCCGCAGAAGAAGCACCGGCUAACUCCGUGCCAGCAGCCGCGGUAAUACGGAGGGUGCAAGCGUUAAUCGGAAUUACUGGGCGUAAAGCGCACGCAGGCGGUCUGUCAAGUCGGAUGUGAAAUCCCCGGGCUCAACCUGGGAACUGCAUUCGAAACUGGCAGGCUAGAGUCUUGUAGAGGGGGGUAGAAUUCCAGGUGUAGCGGUGAAAUGCGUAGAGAUCUGGAGGAAUACCGGUGGCGAAGGCGGCCCCCUGGACAAAGACUGACGCUCAGGUGCGAAAGCGUGGGGAGCAAACA